rnacentral:lncRNA from 1 species
AUUUUUUCAUUUACCCUCAGCUGUCAUUGGUUCUCCAAAUGACCCUUUUACCCUUGAAUAAAUUCAACAUGUAGCAUAUAUGAUGGAUCAAGAUGGUCUUUUAUUUUGGGCUACACAUGUCCUAGACGGACCCAAUCCCCGCGUUGAGUCCCCUAAGUCAAAUGCACAAUGCAGAUAAGCGUUCCUACUAGGGAUCCGAUAUGAGGUUGUGUGUUUCUAAGUUUAAAUCCUGAGAUUAUGAUCUAGACAUGGGAUACCCGAGGGAACACUUGGGGCCGAGGAGGGGGCGACAUACCGAGAGCACUAAAGUCUGCCCGGCCUUGUUGCUUGCCCAACCUCACUCUAUUUGGUAUAACUUCUACAGAAAAAGCGGGCUACGCAAACGUAUGCACCAUUUUCCAGAAGACUCAAAAGGGGUGGUGUAAGGAGACAAUCAUAUACAAUUCAACAAUAUUAAAGCGAUAAACAGUUAGCAUUUUAGCACAAAGGUUCAAAAAAGUACAAUAAUAUCAACUAUAAAUAAUCCAAGUAAAAAUCAUGAAAAAGCUCGAAUUCUUGAGCCCUGAACCAGGGUAUCUGGGAGCAAGUCCACAGUAGAGUCGAUAGAGCUGUCACACCUCCUUUUGCAUCACUACAUGGUAUAAUAAAUGGAGUUUUUUCCAAUUUAAGUGACAAUCGAAACGGGAUUAAUUAAAAAUCAGAGUCGUCACCUGGGAAAAUUUAUGGUAUCCCAAGUCAUCGGUUUAAAAUCUCGAAUCCAGGAAAGAAUGACUUUGUUAUUAUAGUCUGCGAAUCAGAAAUCCGGGUAAGGAAUUCUGUUAUCCCUGGAGAAGGUGUUAGGUACUUCCGAAUUUCGUGGUUCUAAAACUGUUGCUUUGAUUCUACUUCGCAUGUUAUAUUGUUUAAUUACUAAUUUUUAAACCUAUGUGCUUUUGCUUCUUUUACCACUUUUAAUUAGAAAAUCAUCUUAAAACGGGUUAAUCAUACAUAUACGUGCUUGUUUGGCGUGUCAAAAAUCAUGUCAUGCGAACGUGUCCAUAAUUAAUAACGCAUUAUUAUUUUUAAAGAAAAGUUUGGGCCGAAGUUGCGCGAACGCAUACUCCAAUUUUGUUUUUAUAAGUGUAAUUGUGUUACGCGAACGUAUA